rnacentral:misc_RNA from 1 species
GCUUGGGAAUUUUUUUGAAGUAGCAGGAAUUAGUCCUAGAAGACGUUAGUGUUCCAUCAGAAGUACUUUUCCUGUCGAUUCUCUGUUGAUCUUGAGCUUAGGAUUUUUUUGAAGUAGCUGGAAUUAGUUUAAGUUCUAAUUGGUGUUAUUUCCAUUUUCCAUCACCCUUCUUUUUACUUGUAAAGAAAGAAGUAGGAUAAGGAUUAUCAAAAAUGUGUAGACUAAUGGUCUGUAACAUAACAGGGGUUAGACUUACAUAACAAAUAGAAAUCAAAGUCCUUUGUCUAACAGAUCAU